rnacentral:lncRNA from 1 species
AUCAGGAUAAAAGGAAGUUUUUGCUGAAGGCAGUGAGAGGGGGAAUGAAGACACAUCUAUAUUUAGGUCAGUGGUAGUGCUUGUUCUUUCUUCCCAUGGUUUAGUUCUUAUAGAGACAGGUUUCUUUUUGGCAAAUGUGUUGAAGAGAGUUCGUAUAUGUCAAUGAUGGUUCACCCUCUCCAUACGCCACAUGUUAUAGCAGCCUCAGACAAAUAAUGUCUUUGCCUGCUGGCCUUAGGGAUGCUCUGUGGGCAUUGCUCACAUUUUUUGAAGUAUGUCAUUUCACUAUAAAGCAUUCUGGUCAUGUUUAUUUCAGGGUUAAGGGCAUACUUACUACCAUAUUCAAUGUAUCCAAUCCUAUCUUCAGGCUGGAGCUCUUACUUUAGGAAGGUAGGCACAGAUUUGACUAAUAUUAUCCCAAAAUGAACAAAAAAGUCUUACAGAUGUGUUUUUUGGGGAAAAGGAUUUCUUUGGACUCAGAGAUCUUUUUAGAAAUAGUUCACUUGGUAAUAGUUGUCCCAAAAUUUCCACAAUAGAAAUAUCUGGGAAACAUUUCAAAAACUAGUUUGUCUUCACUUUCCUAUGUGAAUUGUUUAAUUGCUUCAGCACUUAUUGAAAUAUAUUUGCCUUCCUUUUCUACCAGCUAUUUUCCCACACAUGGAAAUAGUCUAGGAUAUUAGAGUCUUCAGCGUGUAUAAAGAAUAUUUUAUUCUUUUUUUUUUUUUUUUAAUUANUGUCUGCAACCUACACCACAGCUCACGGCAACACCGGAUCGUUAACCCACUGAGCAAGGGCAGGGAUCGAACCCGCAACCUCAUGGUUCCUAGUCGGAUUCGUUAACCACUGCGCCACGACGGGAACUCCAAGCAUAUUUUAUUCUUAAUGUAGAUUUUUCAACAUGUAAAAUUGAAAAUGCUCAAGUCAACUAAGAUAUCAGUUUGAGAGUUAGUUAAGAAAGUUCAAGAUGAAUAUUUCAAUCAAAACCAAGGUUUAACUCUACUAUUUCCAUGAGACCUCUUAGAGAAUUCCAUGAUCCAAAAAAAAGUAAUAAAAAAUGUUUUGGUAAAUGUUUCAGCAGUUUACUCAACAAUGAGGUAAUCCCUGAGAGAAAAAAAAAAAACUGACACCAAAAGAAAUUUAAAUAUGUAAUGAGGUAUAUACUUUAAUACAUUUUGAUUUUGAGUUUAUAAGAUAUAUCUAAGGGAAACAUCAUUUUUUAAAAGAUUUAAAUGUUAUUAAAAACAAAGGAAUUGUUAAUGAGAUGUUCAAGAUUUCUAACUUUAUAAAGACCACUUGUUAAUAUCCAUGUAUUAUCUAUUUGAAAAUAUGAAUUUAUUCAAAUUACAUUCCUGAAAAGCCACAGUAAUGUUAUAUCACAUUGGUACUUUGAAAGGAGAAUGCCAUUUCUUAUCAAAUUUCUCACUAGAACCCACAGUUAUUCUUAGGGCUGACUUGAUUAUAAGGAACUCAUAUGCCUAAUGAAUUGCUUAAAAUCUAUGAAAGAAUCUCAAAAUCACAUACAAAUCUUUUAAAUCUCAAGUCAGGGCUCAUUCAAAUACAUAAAACUUCAUCAACAAAAAUUUUUCUUUCCAUCUCUCUCUCCCUAUUUGCCUUUCUUCCUUCCCACCCUCCUUCCUUUCUACCUCGCUUCCUUUAAUGUAAAAUUAAUUUCUAUUUUUUACAUAUAUGAUAUAGUCAAAUAACAAGUUAUUACCCAGAAAUUCAAGAUUUCUAUGUAAUUUAUUAUAUCAAGUAUGCUCAGUAUUAAAAUUAUGAUGCUGGAGUUCUCGUCGUGGCUCAGUAGAAAUGAAUCUGACUAGCAUCCAUGAGGAUGCAGGUUCGAUUCCUGGCCUCACUCAGUGGAUUGAGGAUCUGGCAUUGCCAUAAGCUGUGGUGUAGGUCGCAGAUGCUGCUUGGAUCUGGCGUUGCUGUGGCUGUGGUUUAGGCCAGUGGCUACAGCUCCAAUUUGACUCCUAGCCUGGGAACCUCCACAUGCUGUGGUUGCAGCCCUUAAAAUACAAAAAUAAAAAAAAAAAA